rnacentral:rRNA from 1 species
UACGAGGGGGGCAAGCGUUGUUCGGAAUUAUUGGGCGUAAAGGGCGCGUAGGCGGUGCGGUAAGUCACCUGUGAAAACUCUGGGCUCAACUCAGAGCCUGCAGGCGAAACUGCCGUGCUGGAGUGUGGGAGAGGUGCGUGGAAUUCCCGGUGUAGCGGUGAAAUGCGUAGAUAUCGGGAGGAAGGCCGGUGGCGAAGGCGGGUCUCUGGGCCAAUACUGACGCUGAGGAGCGAAAGCGUGGGGAGCGAACAGG